rnacentral:rRNA from 1 species
UACGGAGGGGGCUAGCGUUGUUCGGAAUUACUGGGCGUAAAGCGCACGUAGGCGGCUUUGCAAGUUAGAGGUGAAAGCCCGGGGCUCAACCCCGGAAUUGCCUUUAAAACUGCAUCGCUAGAAUUGUGGAGAGGUAAGUGGAAUUCCGAGUGUAGAGGUGAAAUUCGUAGAUAUUCGGAAGAACACCAGUGGCGAAGGCGACUUACUGGACACAUAUUGACGCUGAGGCGCGAAAGCGUGGGGAGCAAACAGG